rnacentral:other from 2 species
GCAGGUCAGCCGACGCUCGGCGUUCGAGUUCUACCUACUCUGUUCAACCAGGGAACCGCCUCUGCCCGUGGGAGUGCAAGCCCGUUCGGCGGGAAGCCCGAAGCGGAUAUCCGUGGUGCCCACCUGCUACGGUAGGGGUUGAACUGGAAUCGUCGAGCGUCGGUGGACCUGCU